CAUUCCGUGGUUCAGCGGCGACAACGCCCGGCUUACACCCGGGAGACGACGGUUCGAGUCCGUCCGGAAUGA
rnacentral:tRNA from 1 species